rnacentral:sRNA from 1 species
GUCGUGAGAUGUUGGGUUAAGUCCCGCAACGAGCGCAACCCUUGUCCCUAGUUGCUACGCAAGGGCACUCUAGGGAGACUGCCGGUGACAAACCGGAGGAAGGUGGGGAUGACGUCAAGUCCUCAUGGCCCUUAUGGGUAGGGCUUCACACGUCAUACAAUGGCCGGUACAGAGGGUUGCCAACCCGCGAGGGGGAGCCAAUCCCGUGAAAGCCGGUCGUAGUCCGGAUUGCAGUCUGCAACUCGACUGCAUGAAGUCGGAAUCGCUAGUAAUCGCGGAUCAGCAUGCCGCGGUGAAUACGUUCCCGGGUCUUGUACACACCGCCCGUCACACCAUGGGAGUGGGGUCCACCAGAAGUAGGUAGGCUAACCGCAAGGAGGCCGCCUACCACGGUGAGCUUCAUGACUGGGGUGAAGUCGUAACAAGGUAGCCGUAUCGGAAGGUGCGGCUGGAUCACCUCCUUUCUCGGAACUCAGGAGCCAGGCGAAGGUGCUGACCGCAAGGUCGACGCCACCUGACCUCCUCACGCGCUCCAGUACCCACAACCUAUCGAUUGCAGCGGAGAUCGCGAGAUCUCCGCGCUCGUUCUUUAACAAUUUGGAAGGCAAGGCGCAUCUGGACUUGAUGAGAGUCUGGAUGCGUUAGGGUUGAGUUGUAUCUUGCUCGCCGCCUUUAAAAGGGGGUGGCGGGUGGCGCAAACACGCUCGUAGCGGUGUGGUCGAGGCUGAGAGGCCAAAGGUCACACGGUUAUGGGGUCAAGCGACUAAGUGCAUGUGGUGGAUGCCUUGGCGAUUACAGGCGAUGAAGGACGUGGCAGCCUGCGAAAAGCUGCGGGGAGCUGGCAAACGAGCAUUGAUCCGCAGAUGU